UUAGGGAAGAAGAACUGACGGUACCUAACGAAUCAGCAUCGGCUAACUCCGUGCCAGCAGCCGCGGUAAUACGGGGGAUGCAAGCGUUAUCCGGAAUUAUUGGGCGUAAAGCGUCCGCAGGUGGUUUAUCAAGUCUGCUGUCAAAGCGUGGGGCUUAACCCCACAAAGGCAGUGGAAACUGAGAGACUAGAGUACGGUAGGGGUAGCGGGAAUUCCCAGUGUAGCGGUGAAAUGCGUAGAUAUUGGGAAGAACACCAGCGGCGAAGGCGCGCUACUGGGCCGAAACUGACACUCAUGGACGAAAGCUAGGGGAGCGAAAGGGAUUAGAUACCCCUGUAGUCCUAGCUGUAAACGAUGACAACUAGGUGUUGCGCGUAUCGACCCGUGCAGUGCCGUAGCUAACGCGUUAAGUUGUCCGCCUGGGGAGUACGCACGCAAGUGUGAAACUCAAAGGAAUUGACGGGGGCCCGCACAAGCGGUGGAGUAUGUGGUUUAAUUCGAUGCAACGCGAAGAACCUUACCAGGGCUUGACAUGUCGCGAAUCCUUGCGAAAGUAGGGAGUGCCUUC
rnacentral:rRNA from 1 species